UACGGGGGGAGCAAGCGUUGUUCGGAUUUACUGGGCGUAAAGGGCGCGUAGGCGGCGCCGCAAGUCGACUGUGAAAUCUCCGGGCUUAACCCGGAAAGGUCAGCCGAUACUGCGGGGCUAGAGUGCAGAAGGGGCAACUGGAAUUCCCGGUGUAGCGGUGAAAUGCGUAGAUAUCGAGAGGAACACCUGCGGCGAAGGCGGGUUGCUGGGCUGACACUGACGCUGAUGCGCGAAAGCUAGGGGAGCGAACGGG
rnacentral:rRNA from 1 species